CUCCCCUUGGUGUAGUUGGUUCAUCACGUUCGACUGUAAUGGUUACAUUGUUAUCGAAAGGUCUCUAGUUCGAUUCUGGAAGGGGAGA
rnacentral:tRNA from 2 species